GAGAGGGAGAGAGAGAGAGAGGGAGAGAGAAAGAGAGAGGGAGAGGAGGGGUGGAGGUAAAGGUGAAAGUGUUGCAGAGAACACAAGGUGAUGGUGGAGUCAGCAGGGCAAGGAAAGGAAAAAAAUAAGAAAAAUAGAAGGACAAAGUGAGCGUGUGUGUGUGUCUGCAAUCAUGCAUGUGUGUCAUGUGCAUGUGUGUGUCUGUCUGGUGCAUGCGUGCAUGUGUCUGUGUGCGUGUGUAUGUGUGUGUUUGUGUGCGUGUGUGUGUGUGCCAGGAAGAGAGUGUUUGGAGAGGGCUGGAAUGCACAAAUCUUGUCAAUCUCCGAGUAGAAGCUGUUUUCUGGAGUGUAACGCAAGUGCGCUGAAUGGCUCUGCGUUCUCGGUGAAGAAGGAGAGAGAGCAGCGCAGCACAGAGAUCAUCUGUAUCGACGACUGAAGCACACAAACCUACACAAACACACGUGAAACACACACACAUACAUACUAGUAUUAUACAGACACACACUAACACACACACACACUGUCACUAACAGGCACACACCGUCACUAACAGGCACACAGACACACAGACACACACACACACACACACACACUCACGCAAACAGACACAAGACCAUUAUGUGCAGACACACAUACAUUCAUGUACCCACGCACGAAUACACACGCACACACACACACUUAUGCAUUGAGAUACUGGUAUUACUAAUUUAACACACCUGAACACCCCCAGCAGCAUGUCAUGUUCCAUGACCUUUGACCUUUCCCUAUAUCUGCCUCAAACCAUUAUACUCCUCAUCCGUGAACUGCUGACCCAGAGACUACACACACACACACACACAUAUACAUACAUACAUACAUACAUACAUACAUACAUACAUACAUACAUACAUACAUACAUACAUACAUACAUACAUACAUACAUACAUACAUACAUACAUACAUAAAGAAACACACACAUACACAAUCACAUAGACACACACACACACACCCUGACACACCUACACACGCAUACACACACACAUAGACACACACGCGUACACAAAUACACACACACAUACAAAUAGUUAGACGUAAAUGUACACAAAGACCCACAUAUGUAUUCAAAUCCUACCCGGACAACCACACGCACACAAAUGCACAAACGCAUGCACUUAUCUGUACACACACACACGCACACAGAUCCAGACACAUAUCCUCACACACACACACACACACACACACACGCAGAAAAGCAUGCUCUGGAUCACCCUAAGGCUGCGAGGUCGGGUUCUGAAAGGCGCUUCCCAUCGUGUUGGGUGUGCGCUCCGUUGACCGUCCGUUCUGUUUCCUGCUCAGCUCCCAGUUCACCGUGAAGCGCUCCCAGUUCUCAGCUCCCAGUUCACCGUGAAGCGCUCCCAGUUCUCCGCUCCCAGUUCACCGUGAAGCCCCGAUGCUCUUUGAGUUCCCCUUCAUAUUUGUUUUCAUGGUACGUGUUGAUGAAUACAACAGAACAUCCCACUAGCUCCUGUACAUAGUGAGCCCAGGACGAGUCUGGGUCCGCGAUGAGUUCAACGUUUGAACGCCCGCAACUCAGCGUUUGUUCCGGAACGAUCCGACAGUAUUUUCAGAGAUUUCAGAGAAUUUCCGAAAAGAUAAACUCUUAUACGAAUGUUUAACCUUUCAUAAUGCAAUGUCAGUGUUAUUAAGAAAAAAAAACUUGCUCGCUCUUUUCCCCUACUUCGCCUAAUUUCCGCGAUUAGCCGCUCUCCCACAAAAUAUAAUUUCCCAAAUUUCUAUUUCUAUUUAGAAAUUCCGCUGGGAUUCUUCUUUUCGUAUUUAAACUGCGUCGUUGUGUUCUCUUGUGUUCUUUCUUUCCAUGAUUCUUGUGUGCGUUUUCGUCGUUCGUGAUGUCAUUCUCGCUUUUAGCAUUUGAAACCGAGCUUCUACCAAAAGAGACUUUUUUAACGGACGACCCCACUAAGAGUUUUAGGGCCGGCCCUCGGUGCAGCACGGCACUCGUCUUCGCCGCAACGCUCUAUAUCCGCCGGAGAACGCUAACAAAGAAGUUUAGCUAACUUCAAAAAAAUAAAAGCUACUUUAGCCAUAGCCAUAAAUGUUCUGUGCUUUUUAGAUUUGGGGGUCUUGCAAGUAACAUAUUUAUACAACAUAUGAACAAAAAAGAUAAAUAAAUGUAAUCCUUUAUGCUGUUAAAACAGCUUCAAAAUGUAUGAUAUCCUAGUUUUUGUCGGACGAGGAAUGGCAGUGGAAUUGAACCCAUUUUAUAAACGCCUUAAAACACCAAGCGAAACAAUUGUACAUUUAUGAAACAGAAUGAAUAACCUGAUGUCAACCUGUAAAUGUUAGCAAAAACGUAACAUUCACUUUCACAAGUUAAGCUUCUAGAUAUUUCUACAUGGAGAUUGUUAGGAGUUAAUUUAUUCCCGGAAAUCGUGGACAUUUGUAUGCUAGUUGACAGCUCUUUCCGCUAACCCCCUUCGGCUAAAUGGGCUGUCUAACGGCGUGCGUGCAUCUUUCUCUACUUGACUCGUCGAUUUGUUUUGUCCGAUAUCUUCUUCCUGUUUUUUGGUUUUAUGUGGUCGUGCCGAUCAACUGACGAGUGGCAAUGAAACAAUGUCAAAUAUAAUAAUAUCAUGUCUACCUUCUUUCUUCUUGGUUCUUUUGUUUGUAAUAAAACUUAAUUAAAUUAAAA
ensembl:lncRNA